GGUUGCGAUAUACCAGCACUAUGCAGAUUCCAUCAGAACUCCGCAGUUAAGCGUGUUGGGCGAGAGUAUCUAGGAUGGGUGACCCUGGGAUCCUCGUGUUGAACCCC
rnacentral:rRNA from 1 species